UAGGGAGCAGUGCCUUUGCCAAGUGUGUCAUCCACACCAUUUCUCUGCAUGCUUCUUUUAAACUUUUCUCUUACUAGAACAUCUUCUUGAUUGCUUUCUCUUUCAGGAUGAAUAACUUCAAUUAUUUUUGGUGGUAGUUCUUGCUCUUCUUUCACAAAAAUGUUUUUCUUUUCUUGGUCUUCUUUUUUGUCUUUUUGUCUUCCAGUAUUCUCCAGCAGUAUUUGGACUUCCAAAUGUUUCUCUUCCCCUGAUAAAUCUAUAUUAGAAAAAUAGGCAAUUUAGUGCUGUUUAAAAUGAAUGGAUCUCUAUUUCAAGAUGGCAUGUCUAGUACACUUACGUGCACCGCCUCACAAGCACACUGAAAUGACAGAAAAGGUAAGAAAAUAGAUGCAUAGACAAAAGAUUACAGAGAAAGGUGCUAUUAACAAAUGUGUUAUGUUACAGUUUCUUGGAACUUCCCAAGCAGAUGGGAAUUAUGAAACCAAAAGAAAAAUGACAUUCAUAGAAGAAGAAAUAAAAUUUGCCAAUAAGGUUAUUAAUAGAUGUUUAACAUCACUAACUGGACAUACUGCCAGUUGAAACAAUGAUGGCUGGGUGCAGUGGCUCACACCUGUAAUUCCGGCACUUUGGGAGGCUGAGGCAGGAGGACUGUUUGAGCCCAAGAGUCUGAGACCAGCCUGGGCAACAUAGCGAAACCCUGUCUCUACAAAAAAUACAAAAAUUAGCUGGGUGUGGUGGUGUCUGCCUGUAGUCUUGGCUACUCAGGAGGCUAAGGUGGGAGGAUCACUUGAGCCCAGGAGGACAAGACUGCAGUGAGCCGUGACUGUGCCACUGCAUACCAGCUUGGGCAACAGAGCAGAGCUGUUUCAAAACAAAACAAAACAAAACAGAACAGAAGAACAGAACAGAACAGAACAGGACACAAUGAGAACAUUUUUCAUCCAUCCAAUUGGCAAAUAAUUUCUAGAGCUGGUGAGAAGAUGGGGAAAUUGGAAUGUUUGGUCCCCGCUGGUGGGUGUGUUGUUGGUACAGCAUUUUUGGAUGGCAAUUUGGCAGUAUCAAGAUUUUAGGUGAAUAUACUCUUAGACCUAACAACUUCUUCUUAGAACGAACCUACAAAAAAUAGACAAGGAUAAGUGCAACGAUGUUCACUGUGGCGUGGGUUAGUAACAAUAAAACCUCCUAAACAUCUGCCAAAGGAAUAAUGGUUAAAUAAGGUAUGGCACGUGCAGUCUGUGGAAUUCCAGGCAGUUAUUAUAGACAAUGAGCUGGAUCCAUGUGAACUGAUGGGGAAGGAUGUUCCCACUACAGAAUAUAAGCACAUGAGGGCAGGGUUUUGCAUUUGCUUCCUCCUGUCUCCCUAAUGCCUAGAACAGUGUCAGACACAUAGUGCAUGCUCAGAAAGUAUUUGUCAAAUGAAUGGAUACACUUUCUAGGACACUAUGAAUUAGGACAAUGGACUGAAAAAUAAGCAGAAAAUUUAAACACACCAGUGACCACAGUGCAACUGCAACUGACGAUCAGUUUCCACCAAACUGCAACAGAGAGAGUGGCUUUGCCGGUGAGUUCUGUCAAACUACUGUGUUAUUUAAACAUUAUUUGGCCUUACAACUAAGGUGAGGCCCUUGGGCCUCUACUGAAGGCCCAAUGUGUUCAACAAGGGCUCUCCAUGCUGCCUAAGGGAACACAUCUGAUUUGCAGCCCUGAAUGAACUCUGGGACUCAUUCAUCAUGCAUGUACUUUCCUCAGAAGUUGCUCUUACCCAGCCUUGCGGGGCUGCAGCCAGAUCUCCCACGAGUGGUAAUGUAACAUGAAAACAAUGAGCCACAUCUUCAAAAUUCCAAAGGAAAAUGACCCUCAACCUAGAGUUUCCUAUCUAGGCAAGUAUUAAUCAAGUGUAAGGGCAGAAUAAUGACACUUCCAGAUGAGAGGUAUACAAAUUUACCUUACCUGCACCCAUUUACAAGAAGCUAGUGAAGGUUGUGCUCUUUAAAACAUGAUGGAAUUUACCAAGAAAGAGGAGGACUUGGCUUAGGAAAGAGAAGAUCCAGUAGAGAAGGGGAGUGACAGGAAUCUGCAGGAAAUGAUGAAGGGCAAUCCCAGGAUGUUAGCUGCACACCAGAGAUGAGGAGACAGACUAGGACCCCUGCUCCAUUAGACCUCCAGGUCCCAAACACCAGGUGAGCCAGGGCCUUGGCCUGUCUUGCCCAUGGCUGAUGAAGUGUUGUACUCUCUAUCAAACCCUGCAGUCUGGGCCAGCUGAGGACUCUCCUUGGAACCCAAAGAAGCAGUUUGUUUCCACCUACUCCCAAGAGCUGAAGGUAAGCUUUGGUGAUCUUAGAAUAGGAAAAUCUGGGCAGCCCGUUCUCUUGGCCCUAGCUCUCUUGGGCCUGCCCAGAAGAGCUCUGCCAGAUGCCAUGGAUCUGAGGGUUUUUCUAUCUCCCAGGAUGAUUCAGGACCUCACCCACUGAUUGGGCCCUUGUAUAUUCAAGGGAGCUGAAGCUGGGGUCCUUUUUCUGGAAGUCUUUAUUCAAAAGUGGUAAUAUUGCCCUUUGCUCAGCUGGAUUUGAAUAAUUUGCUACUCAGUUUUUCAAAGCUGAAUAUAUUAUUUAAGGAUACUAUUAUGAAAUGAAUGUUUGUAUUCCUUCCUCCCAAAUUUCAUAUGUUGAAGCCGUAACCCCCAGUAUGGCUAUAUUUGGAGACUGGGUCUUUAAGGAAGUAAUUAAGGUUAAAUGAGAUCACAAGGUUGGGGCCUUCAUGACGGAAUUAGUGUCCUUAUAAAAAGAAACACUGGAGCACUGGUGCUCUCUCCCCGACUCUCCUCGUGCGAGCACUAAGGAAACGCCACAUGAAGACAUAGUGAGAAGCGGGACAUCUAAAGCCAGGAAGAGGGCCUUAACUGAAGCCAAAUGCCUAGAACCUUGAUCUCGGACUUCCUAGCCUCCAGAACCAUGAGAAAAUAAAUAAGUGUUGUUUAAACCGGC
rnacentral:lncRNA from 10 species